rnacentral:rRNA from 1 species
CUGCGAAUGGCUCAUUAAAUCAGUUAUAGUUUAUUUGAUGAUACCUUGCUACAUGGAUAACUGUGGUAAUUCUAGAGCUAAUACAUGCAUUAAAGCCCUGACUUCUGGAAGGGGUGUAUUUAUUAGAUAAAAAACCAACGCGGCUCGCCGCUCCCUUGGUGAUUCAUAAUAACUUCUCGAAUCGUAUAGCCUUGUGCUGACGAUGCUUCAUUCAAAUAUCUGCCCUAUCAACUUUCGAUGGUAGGAUAGUGGCCUACCAUGGUUUCAACGGGUAACGGGGAAUAAGGGUUCGAUUCCGGAGAGGGAGCCUGAGAAACGGCUACCACAUCCAAGGAAGGCAGCAGGCGCGCAAAUUACCCAAUCCCGACACGGGGAGGUAGUGACAAUAAAUAACAAUAUAGGGCUCUUUCGGGUCUUAUAAUUGGAAUGAGUACAAUUUAAAUCCCUUAACGAGGAACAAUUGGAGGGCAAGUCUGGUGCCAGCAGCCGCGGUAAUUCCAGCUCCAAUAGCGUAUAUUAAAGUUGUUGCAGUUAAAAAGCUCGUAGUUGAACUUCAGGCCUGGCUGGGUGGUCCGCCUCACGGCGUGUACUGUCUGGCUGGGUCUUACCUCUUGGUGAGCCGGCGUGCCCUUUAUUGGCGUGCGUC